GGAAUGUAGCUCAGUGAUAGAGCAUGUGCCUUGCAAGCAGGAAGCCCUGGGUUUGAUUUCCAGCACCA
rnacentral:tRNA from 1 species